UACAGAGGUCCCAAGCGUUGUUCGGAUUCACUGGGCGUAAAGGGUGCGUAGGCGGUCGGGUAAGUCUGAUGUGAAAUCUCACAGCUUAACUGUGAAACUGCAUUGGAUACUAUUUGGCUUGAGAGUUGGAGGGGGGACUGGAAUUCUUGGUGUAGCAGUGAAAUGCGUAGAUAUCAAGAGGAACACCAGUGGCGAAGGCGAGUCCCUGGACAACUUCUGACGCUGAGGCACGAAAGCUAGGGGAGCAAACAGG
rnacentral:rRNA from 1 species